rfam:Ananas comosus cultivar MD2 ACMD2_Scaffold_6287, whole genome shotgun sequence.
AAGGAUUUGAUGAUCCUUUCCCCACAUGAUCGACUAUGAUUAUAAUGUGCGAUUAUUCGUUUCUCCUUUCUAGGAGAAACCAAGCCAGGAUUCUGAUCCUU